UACGUAUUCAACUUUUUAAUUAGGGUUCCAGAAAAAGUAGGGUUCAGUAAACUGUAGUCUUGGCCCCAAUAAUUUACUAGGGAUUGAUGAAAAAAAUUAAAUUAAAAUUCGUAAAAAAACCCUAAAUUCUCCCAUAAAUAGACACCUUCUCUUCCCUUAACCCUGCAACAAUUUUCUCUCUAACCUUAGCCUCUUCAUAUUCUGCACAUCUUUCUCUUAGUGCUGAAUUAGGGUUCUGAUUUUGUCAUGAAUUUCCAUGACAUUAUUUUUAAUAUAUAGUCCUGUGGGGCAAUUUGAGUCUUUCAAUAUCAUGACCCUCUUUGUAUUCUUCCACAGCUUUCUUGAACUGCAGCAUCUAAAAGGUUCCUUUGCAUGCAUACCAUACCUUGUCUUGCGGUUCAAUAAAGCUGUGGGAAGAUACAGAUA